UACGGGGGGGGCAAGCGUUGUUCGGAAUUACUGGGCGUAAAGGGCUCGUAGGCGGCCAACUAAGUCAGACGUGAAAUCCCUCGGCUUAACCGGGGAACUGCGUCUGAUACUGGAUGGCUUGAGUUUGGGAGAGGGACGCGGAAUUCCAGGUGUAGCGGUGAAAUGCGUAGAUAUCUGGAGGAACACCGGUGGCGAAGGCGGCAUCCUGGACCAAUACUGACGCUGAGGAGCGAAAGCCAGGGGAGCAAACGGG
rnacentral:rRNA from 1 species